rnacentral:rRNA from 1 species
AUACGGAGGAUGCAAGCGUUAUCCGGAUUUAUUGGGUUUAAAGGGAGCGUAGGCGGGAGCUUAAGUCAGCGGUUAAAUGGUGCGGCUCAACCGUGCCCUGCCGUUGAAACUGGGUUUCUUGAGAGUGCAAGAGGCGGAUGGAAUUCAUGGUGUAGCGGUGAAAUGCUUAGAUAUCAUGAAGAACUCCGAUUGCGAAGGCAGUCCGCUGGGGCACGUCUGACGCUGAUGCUCGAAGGUGCGGGAAUCAAACAGGAUUAGAUACCCUGGUAGUCCGCACGGUAAACGAUGAUUACCCGCUGUCGGCGGCAGACAGUCGGCGGCCAAGCGAGAGCGAUAAGUAAUCCACCUGGGGAGUACGCCGGCAACGGUGAAACUCAAAUGAAUUGGCGGGG